UACGUAGGGGGCGAGCGUUGUCCGGAAUUACUGGGCGUAAAGGGCGCCUAGGCGGUUUCUUAAGUCUGCUGUGAAAGACCGGGGCUCAACCCCGGGGUGUCAGCGGAGACUGGGAGACUUGAGUGUCGGAGAGGAGUGCGGAAUUCCUGGUGUAGCGGUGGAAUGCGUAGAUAUCAGGAGGAACACCGAUGGCGAAGGCAGCACUCUGGCCGAAUACUGACGCUGAAGCGCGAAAGCGUGGGGAGCGAACGGG
rnacentral:rRNA from 1 species